rnacentral:rRNA from 1 species
CCUACGGGAGACAGCAGUGGGGAAUAUUGCACAAUGGGGGAAACCCUGAUGCAGCGACGCCGCGUGAGUGAAGAAGUAAUUCGUUAUGUAAAGCUCUAUCAGCAGGGAAGAAAAUGACGGUACCUGAGUAAGAAGCCACGGCUAACUACGUGCCAGCAGCCGCGGUACUACGUAGGGGGCAAGCGUUAUCCGGAUUUCCUGGGUGUAAAGGGAGCGUAGACGGCAGUGCAAGUCUGGAGUGAAAGGCGGGGGCUCAACCCCCGGACUGCUCUUGAAACUGUACGGCUGGAGUGCAGUAGAGGUAAGUGGAAUUCCUGGUGUAGCGGUGAAAUGCGUAGAUAUUAGGAGGAACACCAGUGGCGAAGGCGGCUUACUGGACUGUAACUGACGUUGAGGCUCGAAAGCGUGGGGAGCAAACAGGAUUAGAUACCCUAGUAGUC